CAUAGCGACUAUCGUGGCAUAUCAAUAAGCGGAGGAAAAGAAACUAACAAGGAUUCCCCUAGCAACGGCGAGUGAAGCGGGAAGAGCUCAAAUUUGAAAUCUUCAAGGGUUUACCUUUACGAAUUGUAGUUUAAAGAAGUGUUUUCUGUUGGAAGUUUUGGUAAAAGUUCUUUGGAAAUAGGACAUCAUAGAGGGUGAGAAUCCCGUAUUUGACCAUUAUUUCCAACUUUGUGAUACACUUUCAAAGAGUCGGAUUGUUUGGGAAUGCAGUCCAAAAUGGGUGGUAAAUUUCAUCUAAAGCUAAAUAUUGGCGAGAGACCGAUAGCGAACAAGUACCGUGAGGGAAAGAUGAAAAGAACUUAGAAAAGAGAGUUAAACAGUACGUGAAAUUGUCAAAAGGGAAGCGUUUGACACCAGUGUUGUUUUUCCGAAAAUCAAUUACGAAUGUUUUGUUUUUGAGGAAGUUAUGACUUCAUCGGCUUGCUCUCUUCUUUAUGAAACUUUCUUAAUGCACUUUUCGGUUAACAAGUCAACAUCAAUUUCUUUUGUUGUAAAAGGGUAUGAGGAAGGUGGCUUUCUUUUCGGAGAAAGUGUUUAUAGCCUUGUACCUCUGCAAUCGGAGAGAUUGAGGUCUGCAGCGUAGAUCCUUCGGGGUUAGAUACAUUUGUGCUAAGUUAUAGCUUUCAUAGACAACUUGUUGACUAUGUUAGUCUUGUAGCUUACUCGCUUAUGCUAUUUUACCUACGCUUAGGAUGUUGACGAGACUGUCGAUCUC
rnacentral:rRNA from 1 species